GAUGAACGCUGGCGGCGUGCCUAAUACAUGCAAGUCGAGCGAAUGGAUUAAGAGCUUGCUCUUAUGAAGUUAGCGGCGGACGGGUGAGUAACACGUGGGUAACCUGCCCAUAAGACUGGGAUAACUCCGGGAAACCGGGGCUAAUACCGGAUAACAUUUUGAACCGCAUGGUUCGAAAUUGAAAGGCGGCUUCGGCUGUCACUUAUGGAUGGACCCGCGUCGCAUUAGCUAGUUGGUGAGGUAACGGCUCACCAAGGCAACGGUGCGUAGCCGACCGGGGAGGGGGAUCGGCCACACUGGGACUGAGACAGGGGCCAGACUCCGUCGGGAGGGAGCAGUAGGGAAUCUGCCGCAAUGGGCGAAAGUCUGACGGGGCAACGCCGCGUGAGUGAUGAAGGCUUUCGGGUCGUAAAACUCUGUUGUUAGGGAAGGACAAGUGCUAGUUGAAUAAGCUGGCACCUUGACGGUACCUAACCAGAAAGCCACGGCUAACUACGUGCCAGCAGCCGCCGUAA
rnacentral:rRNA from 1 species